rnacentral:lncRNA from 1 species
UUAUAGACAGCAGUUAACCCAUUGGUUAUAUAUAUAUACAGGUUGAGUAUCCUGUAUCUGAAAAAAUGUCUAUUUCAAGUCCUUGGUCCAUUUUUUAAUUGGGUUGUCUUUCUGUUGAGUUUUAUAAGAGUUCUUUGUAUAUGGCUAGUUUUGCUGCAGAUGCUACCCGUGGCUACACAGAAUACUGUAAUUUAACUUUUCAACAUUUUAAAAAUCUUUUCUCCCCAGCCAGACUAUAAACUCCUUUGAAGGGCAAAGAAUAUCAAUGUAUUUUGAUUUCUUUCAUUGCCUGGACCUUAGAAAGCUCUCAGUGAUCUUUCUGUUCAUUUGAUAUGUCAAUAUUUUCCUAUUUCUCAAACAUGUCAAUAACUGAAUGUAGUGUAUCAAACUACUUUACAACAGGCAUUUGACAAAUGAUCAUAAUGACUGGAAUGUGGAUGAAACAGUACAUAGGCUUGUAGAUGGUCACUGCAAGGCAAGCCCUUGGAGACCACUUGGUCUGACCUCCAUUGUUAACAGAAAAGGAAACUGAGGCCUCUGGAGAAAUUGAGCAGUUUUGAAGGCACUCAGUUACCUGGUGGGUGAGCCAGAUUAUAAACAGGGGUCUCCUUACUGCCAGGAGAGUGCAUCUCCAGGAUGUCAUACUGCUUCAAUAACCCUAAAUGGGACAGUCACAUCUGUUUGAUCCUGUCUUUAAGAGAGGGCUGUGAUAUAAUAAGUGGUAAGCACUGGAGAAAGCUAUGAGUAGAAGCUUCAAGGGGAGAAAGUGAGUCUAAGAUUUUGGCUCCCCAGAGAGUCAAAGGGGGGAGAUAACAAUCAAGAUAGGGUGAGGCCAGGUUGUAGAGGGCCCUUAUACCGUCAGGUGGGGUCUGAACUUGACACAACAGUAUAGGGAGCCACCAAAGACUCUGAACAUAGGAGUGACAUGAUGUUAAGUUUCACCUGUACAGGAUCUCCAUGUCAUCAGCUCUAAUGGACACUUCGCAGUCAUCAUAAUUGACUUAAAAGCAUCUAACACAGCUGAUCUCUCCUUGAACUCUCCUCUCGGUUU